GCCACAUGUCAACCGGCAUUGUCUCGUCGUUUGCUGCAGUUUCCCGCUGUUCUGUUUUUACGACCGUUCGAGGUGAUACUGGUUACUGGUGACUGAUAUUAACAGAUAUUCGACGAGAUGGAUGACGAUUUGCCGUAUAUGGUAGAGUACGCGAAAAGCGAUCGCUCGAAGUGUCAAUCAUGCAAGCAAUCAAUUAUGAAGACGAGUUUAAGACUCGCCACCGUUGUUCAGAGUCCUGUUCACGAUGGAAAGAUACCUAGAUGGUAUCACUUCAAAUGCUUCUUCUUAAAACAAAGACCAAGUUCCACUAAUGACAUAGCUUGUUUCGAUCAGAUUCGCAAUCAAGAUCAAGAUGCAAUUCGAAAGAAAAUUGAAGAAUGUCGUAAUGUACCUUCUGCAUCAAAAGGAAGAAAAAGAACAAAAGGUAGUGCUUCUGGAGAUUUUAGAGUAGAAUAUGCUAAGUCUAGCAGAGCCACUUGUAUAGGAUGCCAAGAAAAGAUAAUAAAAGGUGAAACAAGAAUAGCAAAGAAAGAUUAUGAGAGCGAAGAAGCUAGGAAGUUUGGUGGUUUAGACAGAUGGCUUCAUGUGGAAUGUUUCGUGAAACUAAGAGCGGAUAUGGGAUAUUACGGAAGAGGAGAUGAGCUUCCAGGUGCCGAACAACUCUCAAAAGAAGAUCGGGCAAAUCUCAAAACUUCAUUACCUAAAAUGAAUCAAGGCGAUAUACCACCACCUCCUAAAAAGGUUAAGGAUGAACCAGAAGAUGCAGAGGAAACAAAGUUGAUAAAAAAACAAAAUGAUGAGCUAUAUGCUAUAAAAGAUAAAAUAUCACAUCUUGGAAAGAAAGAAAUGAUUGAAUUAUUGGAAGAAAAUGAUCAAAGGAUUCCAAGUGGUACAUCAAAUAUCAUAAGUCUCUUAACUGAUAUACUAUAUUUUGGAGCUCUACAACCCUGUCCAAAAUGUAAUGGACAGCUCGUAUACAAUUCUGGUUUGGGUUAUAAAUGCACCGGCAAUGCAACAGAAUGGAGUAAAUGCGAAUAUGUUACACAAAAUCCAAAAAGAAAACUAUGCAAAAUACCAAUCGAUAUGGAGACAUUUCCAAUUAAAUCAUACAAAUCUAAGAUAAGAAAACGAAUAUUUCAAAUAACAAUGCCGUCUUCGUCGAGUGCUGUUAAAAAAGAGGAAGAUGAAGCAGAUGGACCGAAAAUACAAGGAAAACCACGCCCUUUAAAGAACAUGCAGUUUGUUAUAUUAGGUCGUACACAGAAAGAUAAAGAGGAAUUAAAAAAGGAAAUUUUAUUGUUAGGUGGUACUGUUGUAACAAAAAUCCAUCAAGAUUUGGCUGCUGUAAUUUCGAAUCAAAAUGAAGUGGAUAAAAUGAAUAAAAGAAUGGAAGAUGUUAAAUUACACGACAUUCAAGUAAUAACGGAAGAUUUUAUAGAAGAAGCAAAAGAGUACACAGAUUCUCCCAUCAUGCUGCUAAAGAAGAAAACUAUUUCUAGCUGGGGUGGCGAUAUUAAUGCUAGACUUUCUAAUGUUAUCGCAAAAUCUGCUUCUAAGAGUAAGAGCAAAUUUGAGAAGUCGGGUUCUGGUAAAAUGAAGGUAAAAGUGAAAGGCGGUGGAGCUGUCGAUCCCGAUAGCGGUUUAGAAGAUGUUGCGCAUAUUUAUCAAAAAGGCAAAGAUAAAUAUACCGUCACGUUAGGUCUAACAAACAUACAAUCAAAGAAAAAUAGUUAUUACAAGCUGCAAAUUUUGAAACAUGACAAGCAUGAAAGAUAUCACUUGUUUAGAAGUUGGGGCCGGAUUGGUACUACAAUUGGCGGUGACAAAUUGGAUAGAAUGUCUUUGGAAGAAUGUAUAGAACAGUUUGAAUCGUUGUAUGAGGAGAAGACGGGUAAUCAAUGGAAGAAUAGAGAGCAUUUUGUCAAAGUACCGAACUUGAUGUAUCCGAUCGAUAUAGAUCAUGGGGAUCAGGAGAUUGUUUCCCUAGAUUCAGAUAUUAAGAGUAAUUUGCAGAAACCAAUUCAGGAUCUGAUACGUCUUAUUUUUGACGUAAAUGAGAUGAAAAAAGUUAUGCUGGAGUUUGAGAUAGACCUGGAUAAGAUGCCGCUCGGAAAAUUGUCUAAGAAACAAAUUGAAAAAGCUUAUGUCGUUUUAACGGAGUUGCAAGAAGUGUUAAAGGUAAUGACUGAUGACGUAGAUCGUACUACAUUGGUUGAUGCUUCCAAUAGAUUCUAUACACUGAUACCACAUAAUUUUGGAGUUUCCGGGCCAAAAAUUCUUGGAUCAUUGGAAGAAAUCAAGACCAAGUGCGAUAUGCUGGAUGCACUGCUUGAGAUGGAAGUUGGAUACAAUCUUUUAUGUGAUAAGACUAAUGAAAAGGAGAAUCCACUCGAUAGUCAUUAUAAACAGUUGAAGACUGACAUCGAAGUGAUGGAUAAGACGAGCGAAGAGUUCAAGAUGAUCGAGAAGUACGUCAAGAAUACUCAUGCGGCUACUCAUAAGCAGUACGAACUCGAAAUCAAGGAAGUGUUUAUUAUUAAGAGACAAGGAGAAGAACAGAGGUUUAAGCCUUUCAAGAAAUUGCCCAACAGAAAGUUACUCUGGCACGGAUCCAGAACUACGAAUUACGCAGGAAUACUGUCUCAAGGUUUGCGUAUCGCACCGCCAGAAGCGCCCGUUACUGGUUACAUGUUCGGCAAAGGUAUAUAUUUCGCCGAUAUGGUAUCGAAGUCUGCAAAUUAUUGUUGCACACACAGCCAGAAUCCAACUGGUUUGUUGCUGCUUUGCGAAGUUGCUUUGGGUAAUAUGUACGAGAAAUAUCAAGCGGACUACAUCGAGAAGCUACCGAAAGGAAAACAUUCGACGUUGGGUCGUGGCCAGACGCAACCUGAUCCGCAAACUGUCUACAAGACCAAGGACGGCAUUGAAGUACCUUAUGGAAAGGGAGUACCUGCUAAACUUAAUAACACUUCGGCAUUAUUAUACAAUGAAUACAUCGUAUAUGAUAUCGCUCAGUUGUAGAGGAAGGAUAUCGUAACCUUGAACCGCAUACUCCUGUUUUAUAAAAUCUGAAGUCAGUCACACUACGUACAUAUAGUUCCGAAGAAUCACUCGACCAGGACGGACGCGUUUCGAUUCAGUCUUGAAAGUAUCUCAGUAAAAACUCUCUCGGAAAGAACAUAUUGUGAAGGAAAGGAAGUGUUCUUAA
rnacentral:misc_RNA from 1 species